rnacentral:rRNA from 1 species
CGCCUUAUACUCCUACGGGAGGCAGCAGUGGGGAAUUUUGGACAAUGGGGGCACCCCUGAUUCGGAAAGGCCGCGGGAUUGAGGAAGGCCUUCGGGUUGUAAAGCUCUUUUGUCAGGGAAGAAACGGUAGUAGCUAAUAUCUAUUACUAAUGACGGUACCUGAAGAAUAAGCACCGGCUAACUACGUGCCAGCAGCCGCGGUAAUACGUAGGGUGCAAGCGUUAAUCGGAAUUACUGGGCGUAAAGCGUGCGCAGGCGGUUGUGUAAGUCAGAUGUGAAAUCCCCGGGCUCAACCUGGGAAUUGCAUUUGAGACUGCACGGCUAGAGUGUGUCAGAGGGGGGUAGAAUUCCACGUGUAGCAGUGAAAUGCGUAGAUAUGUGGAGGAAUACCGAUGGCGAAGGCAGCCCCCUGGGAUAACACUGACGCUCAUGCACGAAAGCGUGGGGAGCGAACAGGAUUAGAAACCCUAGUAGUCCACGUACCA